CUCAUUUUCUCGUGUAUUGUUAUUAGCACCAUCUAUGCUAAAACUCUCUUUUCUCACAGUUUGGAUAUUAGAGCACAGAGACUGCAGAAAAACAUGAAGCAACAAAGAUCCAUUCCACACACAUCCAGAAGUAGGUGCAAAGCAAACACAAGGCCAUUUGCAAUUUCUUGAUCCAAAUUUGACUCUCUGAUGUGAUGGCACAACUAAAAGGUGUGCAAACCUAACGAUCUAACCCCUCCUUUUUUUUUUUUGGAGGCAAGGCAACAAGGCCAUUUCUGCAGGAGGUUGAAUUCAUGCCACUCAGUUCAGUUCAGGUUUCCAAUUUUUUCCAAGUUUCCGAUUCUUCGAGCCAGAUAAUAUCGAAUGUGCCAAUUGUUUUUGCCCAUCCCUUGCUUUCGAGAGGCAAUUGAAUGGCACUGUCAUUUCCUGGAGAAGAAGAAUGGUGAAGGAUGAAGAUCAGAGACAGCCUAAAUUUAAUUGUUUUCAGUGUAAGAAGAAUUCUAUUUUUAACGUUAUAGGGAUCAUCAAUGCCCUUUUUGGCAAAAACUUGUCCAAUUCAGGCCAAAGAGAAAUGAAA